AACGAACGCUGGCGGCAUGCCUAACACAUGCAAGUCGAACGAGAUCUUCGGGUCUAGUGGCGCACGGGUGCGUAACGCGUGGGAAUCUGCCCUUUGGUUCGGAAUAACAGUUGGAAACGACUGCUAAUACCGGAUGAUGACGAAAGUCCAAAGAUUUAUCGCCAGAGGAUGAGCCCGCGUGGGAUUAGCUAGUUGGUGUGGUAAAGGCGCACCAAGGCGACGAUCCUUAGCUGGUCUGAGAGGAUGAUCAGCCACACUGGGACUGAGACACGGCCAGACUCCUACGGGAGGCAGCAGUGGGGAAUAUUGGACAAUGGGCGAAAGCCUGAUCCAGCAAUGCCGCGUGAGUGAUGAAGGCCUUAGGGUUGUAAAGCUCUUUUACCCGGGAUGAUAAUGACAGUACCGGGAGAAUAAGCUCCGGCUAACUCCGUGCCAGCCGCCGCGGUAA
rnacentral:rRNA from 1 species